GAUGAACGCUGGCGGCGUGCCUCAAACAUGCAAGUCGAGCGGGGCUAUGUAAUAUCGCAAGGUAGAACAUAGCCUAGCGGCGAACGGGUGAGUAACACGUGGGUAACCUGCCUGGAAGACAGGGAUAACGAUUCGAAAGGGUCGCUAAUACCUGAUAAUAUCCUUUCAUCGCAUGGUGAUAGGAAGAAAGGGGAAACCCGCUUUCAGAUGGGCCCGCGUCCCAUCAGCUAGUUGGUAAGGUAAAGGCUUACCAAGGCGACGACGGGUAGCCGGUCUGAGAGGAUGUACGGCCACACUGGGACUGAGAUACGGCCCAGACUCCUACGGGAGGCAGCAGUUGGGAAUCUUCCGCAAUGGGCGCAAGCCUGACGGAGCGACGCCGCGUGAGGGAAGAAGGCCUUCGGUUGGUAACCUACUGUCAUGGGGAAGGAAGUAAGUAGACGGUACCCCAACGAGGAAGCCCCUGCUAACUACGUG
rnacentral:rRNA from 1 species